AAGGCGUGACUCACAGGACCUCUGUUUGACUGCCUGUGGAGAGGGGGUGAUUAGGAGCACUCAGAGACCAGACGAGGAUCCUGAGCCUGGAGCCAGUGAGUCACAAAGCCUCGAACAGUAAAUGUGAUCACGUGCGUUUAGGAGACACCCACCCACAAAAAAGCAUAACCGGCCUCCUCUCUUCGUCGCCCUCAUUUGACAACGAGGACAAGCAGAAUUUAAACAACACAUUGUGAGAUGUUUACAGAGCCAAACACGGUUUUAACAACUGGGUGCAAAACUGUCUGACAUAAAAUGGAAAAGGACGUCUUGGACUGUCUUCUGUGCUUUCUAUAAUGUGCCUGCACCAUGGUAAUUAUAUUCUAAGAGCAUUUUGUGGCCAGAUGAUCAUGGGAGAGCGUAUGUGGCUACUUUUGUUUUAUGUGCUGCUGUCAAAGGGAGGAGCAGGCUGGCCAAGGGCACCAGCAGCCCAAUGUCCUAACAGUGGGUUUACUCGUUGCUGCUGUGCCUUAAAUCACAUCCUGCUGGGAAGAAUGCACCACCACAGACAUCAGAGCACCCAUAAAGCCGAUUGAGGCGACACGCCUGCUGGCACAGCCCAGAUCCUCCGGCGACCCCAGACUUUGUGACGACCGAGAGCUUCCUAAAGAUUCCCAGCAAACUCAUUUCCUUUUUUUGUCUUCAAGGCUCCCAUGUCACUGUUGAGUAUGCCGCAUCCACUUCAACACCCAAGAAAACAGACAUCUAUAUUUUUUUGGGAUCAAAGAGAUAUUUAAUGCACUUUAAACUGCACAGAUUGUACAAUGUAGAGAAAACAGUGCCUUUAUUUAAUUUAACAGAUUAGCACAGCUUCUCAAUUGUCUUUUGUUAAAAGUGGGUUUCAGUGUUAAAACCGCAGAUUGUUCUAAAUGUUUCAUUAAAUCUUCUGUGUGAUCUCUGG